UGCGCGCUAUUUUAACGGCUGCCCCAGUUCUGCUGUCUCUGGGAUCACCUAAAGGUGGAGGAAUCAAAAGAAGUAACCAGAACUGGCUCGAUGGGAGCUGCUUCAGCUGGGAACAAAGGGAAGGAAUACACCCUUCGUGUGCACUGAAGGGUCCCAUUACUCAAACCUGCCCUGCUGCAUGGCAAGUCCAGGCUGUAAGUCCAGCAUUCCAGCAGUGUGAAGAACAAGAAAAGCAUCUGUCAGCAGCAGGAGCUCAAGCUACUCACUGCCCACUGGAAGUGUCCCUAGUGCAGCCAGAAGAAGGGUGACCAGCGCUUUCUACCCAGGACACAGAAUGAAAGGGAACCUCACAGCCAUAUCCUGGACAAUGGAAACUUCUGAAUGCUUUAGCAGCCUGAUAAA